UUGUAAAUGUGUAGCUCCCUCAGGAUGGAACUAACCUGACCUCUUUAUUUUGCAGCUGAGGCUCACUGCUCCCUGGGUGGGCAGUGAGUUGUGGGUU
ensembl:misc_RNA